GCACAUUCCAGAGAAGGGAGGCAAGCAUUUAGAUCGAGUGUCCUGGCUUUUCCCUUAGGAAAACUCAGGAGAGAAGGUGGUUGGGUUGAGAAGACUAUAACUUUCAGUCCCAGAAGAUGCAUGGACUCUCAGGAAGGUGACAGUGCUCUGACAAGCCAGCAUGGCGAUGCCACACCGUGCCAGUUGGGUGAUGUUUAGAAACCAUUCACCUGCAUUGAAGCAAAGACAGGGCCAGAAAGAGUCUUCUCCUGUGACUCAUACCAACUCAGAGGCUAACGGAGAGAAA
rnacentral:lncRNA from 1 species